rnacentral:lncRNA from 1 species
UUUUACAACCAAUUCCAACCACUAAGGAGUUUAACAACCACUUUUCCAACAACCUUCCAUGAUUUAAGGACCAUGUCUUGAGGAGAAAAGUCAAGUCUUGCUUUUUGAAUUUGAAAGAGGAUUUCAAGACUUGUUUUCUCUCCUUAACCAAUUCCCACCAAUUCCAAAUUACAAUUGGACCAAGACUUUAAUUAGAAAAUAAAAUUUGAUAACAACCACAACCAAU